rnacentral:rRNA from 1 species
CCUACGGGAGGCAGCAGUGAGGAAUAUUGGGCAAUGGAGGCAACUCUGACCCAGCCAUGCCGCGUGCAGGAAGACGGCCCUCUGGGUUGUAAACUGCUUUUGUUUGGGAAUAAACCCUUCUACGUGUAGAAGGCUGAAGGUACCAUACGAAUAAGGAUCGGCUAACUCCGUGCCAGCAGCCGCGGUAAUACGGAGGAUCCAAGCGUUAUCCGGAUUUAUUGGGUUUAAAGGGUCCGUAGGCGGGUCUUUAAGUCAGUGGUGAAAGCCCACAGCUCAACUGUGGAACUGCCAUUGAUACUGGAGAUCUUGAGUGUAGUAGAAGUAGGCGGAAUAGGGCAUGUAGCGGUGAAAUGCAUAGAUAUGCCCUAGAACACCGAUUGCGAAGGCAGCUUACUAUGUUACAACUGACGCUGAGGGACGAAAGCGUGGGGAGCGAACAGGAUUAGAUACCCUGGUAGUCCACGCCGUAAACGAUGCUAACUCGUUUUUGGGCUUUAGGGUUCAGAGACCAAGCGAAAGUGAUAAGUUAGCCACCUGGGGAGUACGCUCGCAAGAGUGAAACUCAAAGGAAUUGACGG